GGAAGGAGAUACCAAGCCCACCUACACAACAAACCUCCCCCUCAGUCCUCUCCAGGCUUCUCUCUCCUUCCCCUGAUCCCCCUGCUCCCAGCAGUUCUCAUUCUAAGUGAAUUUGCUGUUUUGACAUCUCAGCUCGGGUUUUCACGUUGUGAUCUGCAAUCAUAUAUCCUUAUAAUGGCUAAUUUUAUGUGUCAACUUGUCCGGGCUAUGGUGUCCAGUUAUUUGGCCAAACACUAUUCUGGAUGUUUCUGUGAACAUAUUUUUGGAUGAGAUUUACAUUUAAAUCAUUAGACCUUGAGAAAAGCAGACUGUCCUUUACAAUGUGGGUGGGCCUCAUCUAAUUAGUUGAAGGCCUGGCUAGAUCAAAAUCUUGGUCUCCUCCAGGAAAGAGGGAAUUUCCAUUUUACUAUUUUAAUUUAUAUUCUCACACAUCUUUUUACCAACCAAGUAAUACUCAGAGCAGAGACUGUUCUAGACCUCUGUCCUCUGGCACAGUACUCCCUCAUAGUAUAUAUUUUAUUGUUGAUGGGAAGAAAGGGAAAUGAUCUUAAAUUAUGGCAGGAGCAAUUUACAUUAAACUCAGGGGAACAUUUUUGUGUGUGGGAGACCUAGAUAGUUGGAAGACCUUUGGUGAGCAGGAGUUCUUUAAGGAAGACACAACUGGAUGACUGUAAUCUUAAAACAGGCUCUUGUGAAGGCCUAGACAGAAGGUCAUGAGAGAGUUCCAUAAAGUAGAGUGAGAGGGUGUUGUAUCACCUUCCCAAGAGACCAUUAGGAACAGGUUAGAUGUCUGUCUAACCAACCUAAGAUGGGGAAUAAUCAUUUCCACAGCAAGAGAUAUGUGUAAGACAGAUGGUUAGAAGCAGCAACUGUGGCUUUUACUUUAGAAAUAGCUCCGACCACUUUCACCAUGACAUAUCCAAUGAUAUACAGCAAUGGCAUCAGAUCCAUUUUUUUCCCAGCAGGCACUUGUGCGCAGAGUUUAACAAUUAAAAGGCACAAAACAUAUGGAGUGAAAAAUAAGUCUCCCAUCCUCUGUGUCCUCCAGGCUCCUAGUUCCUCUCCUUAGAGACAACCAGUGUGGACAGUUUCUUGUGUAUCCCAUGGAAAUUUGUAUGCAUAUACAUACGUGUUUCCUUUUCUUCUCUCACAGAUGGCAAUGUAUUCCACACAGUUUUUCACCUUGCUCUUUUUCACUUUACAUGUUUUGGAGAUUGUUUCACACCACUAACUCUGUAUAAAAAGCCACUUUAUUCUUUCUAACAAUUGCACGGUCCUCCCCUAGUUGUGUACCUAAGUUAACUUAACCAAUGCUCUACUGAUGGAUAUUGGAGUUGUUCUAAUGUUUGCCAUCCUAAAACAAUGGUGCCCUGAAUAACCCUGUCCACGUGCCAUUCUUCUCAUGUAUGUGCAUUUUUGACUUGACUACAAAUGUCCCAAUUGCUUUUUGUAUCAGUUUAUACCCUCCAGUUCACACCAGGAGGCCUGGGGGAGCUCAUGACAUGGAAUAGAGAUGGUUGCUGGCAGCUGCUGUUGCAUUCUCAGGCUCCUGGUCCAUGAAGAGAAACCUUUCUCUACCACCAGCAGGAUAUGAGGCUUUUCAUGAAAAGAAGAGACUCUAGCAAGUUCCUUUGCCCCUGCUAAGGUGAGGUGAUGGUGAGAAGACCAUCAUAUAUGAACUGGGAAGUGGACCCUCACCAGCCACCAACUCUGCCUGUGCCUUGACCUUGUACUUCCAGCCUCCUGUGAGGAAUAAAUUUCUGUUGUGUAUACCCUACCUCAUUUACAGCAUUUUGUUAUAGCAUCCUGAAUAGACUAGACAGGCUAGAGGAAAAUGGGUCACAGACAAGAGUCUUGAGGACUCAAAACUAACAAAUGAUGUACAAAAAAAAAAAAAAAAGACUCUUCUUUAAGCUUCAUUGCUGUGAAUAAUGACUUCAUAAUAUUGGCAAAAAUGAUUGAAGGUCAGUUACAAGUGGAUGUUAUAGGUGGAUUCAAAUGUUUGUGCCUCUAAAGAUUCUUUGAAUAUUCUUCUUGGGAACUGAGUCUCCUUUCCAACCUCGGCACUUACUGCUGGUUGCUUCCCAGGGGCAUAGAGCUGGCUUGGUGUCCCGUCCUACAUCCUCAUGGCAGUCUAAGGGCCACCCCACACCCUGUGUGUCGUGUCUCACAGCACUUGCUACAAGACGUGCCCAGACCUUGGCACUCCAGGAGAGCAGGGGGGAGAGACACGCAAUACUUCUGGAAUCCUGCUGGUCGCCACGAGAAAUUAACUAACCAAACCAAGAAGGCUUUUGUGUUUUUCCAGAGACUAAGCUUUCCUCCUCAAGUUGCAAGCUACUCUUCACGCUUCCAGAUCCAAAGUACAAAUUCUUAUAAAGCGGAGACUCCAGCCCAAUGCUCUUCAGAUGUUUGUUCACGAAGGGGCAAGAGAAAGGAUCUUUUACCUAAAAAUGCCUCCAAAAACGGGAUCGAUCUGGUCAUAGAUGGGCUGAGUGAUGGCUUCGUUCAGAUCUAUUCUUGCAAGAGUCCUGGAGGCAUAGAUGCCAUUUUUCAGGCAAACAGCUUUCAGAGUCUGAUGAAAGCCCUGGUUUCCUCUACUCCUCUAGAAUGCAAAGGAACUGACAAAACUCUUGCCUUCCAACUUUCUAUCAAUGAACAAAGACUGAGACCAAUAUCUGAGGCCAAAGAAUUUUGAGGGAAAAUGCUGGCAAAAGGCUAUCUGAAGGGCUACCCGAGAAGCGCCAACCGGCUCCCUGCCCUGUGUUUGCUGUCGCCUACAGUCUGGCUGCAAGGAUGGUAUUUCAUCCCCACACGGGCUGCCCCUCUGCCUCAGCAGAGGAGAGCAUGAAG